UGCUUUAUUAAAUUAUCAAACGUUAUUUAUUAAUAGACAUGUUUGCAGAGGUAAUUUUGCUUUUAAUUGCAACAACAAUAAAGUCAGUCGUUUCUAAUGAACCUUUCUAUUGGAGAAUUUAUAAUGGUUCAAUGCCAAAUGAUGCAUUUCCAACCGGAACACGAAAUAUGUUUGUCGGUCGAGUAGGUAUAUGUUUAGUAUCCCAAACGAUUGAUAAAUUCAUGCUGGACCCUAGUAGUUGUUUCUUUACUAACAAGAGAAGUAACACAAUUGUGUCAGACCGAUUUCGAUGAAAUUUGGUACAGCCAUAGAAUGGACCACAAUAAGGUUUAUGUAUUUUUUUAUACAUGCGGUAAAAGCCCCUGAGCCAAGUCUAAGAAAGGUAGAAAAUUUGGGGAAAAAGUACAUUUUCGCUUAUAUUUCAAAAACGAAAAGUGCUAUCAAAGUUUGGUAAAUUGAAACUGAUGAAAUUUAAACUAUAAAUUUAACUUUAAUAUAACUACGUGAAAAAAUUAGUUUCUUAAUUUUAAAAUACGUUU
rnacentral:misc_RNA from 1 species